CUCCCGCUGCUCCUGCUCCCGCUGCUCCUGCUGCUCCUGCUAGCCGAAGGCGAGGCCAACCAAGGCCCCUAACACUCCGGAUGGGGCCGGGGGUCGGAGGGGCUAAGCCUACAGACGGCCGCUAGCUACUCCGUCCCUUGCUUGAUGGAGCGAGACUCGCCCGCCGUGCGGGAUGGGGGGCAUCCCGAGGCCUCUAGCCUGAAAAAGCCAAGGUUGUUUCUCCACUGACAGUUUGGUUAGGCAGGAGCUCUCUGAAGAACGGAUCAAAGGAAGUUGUAGAAGAGAGUGACAUUUAGAGCCAGAUCUGGAAGGAUGGAGAAGAGUUUCACCAGGAAGAGAAGAGAUGAUGGAACAAAAUGGACAGUAGCAAAGACACAUGAAAUUGCAUGGACAGGCAGAGAAUGAUGAAUGCUAGUCCAGGGUGACUGUAGGGUAUUCAGGGAAUCAGAGACAAGACUGUGAAGAUAGUCCUGGGUUCAACUGUGAUAAGUCUUGUAUAUCAGGGUAAAGAAGUUGAUCAUGAUUUUGUAGGCAGUGGGGAAGCAGCAAAGAGCUGUAAACAGAAAAAUGAUAUGUUUGAGUCUCUUUUUUAUAUCAUAUUGGUGCUCCAAGAGGUGAAAUUUGGAGCAUGUUAGACCCAGAAAGAGCUCGUACGAGACACAGAUUUGAGAGUUAAUGAGGUUCUUCUCUGGAGUAAUGCAUGGUGAGCAUUAGAGUGGACAUAUGUCAGAGACACUUAGAUGUCGGUAAUAUUUUUUACCCAAUAGAAGAAAAUUAAUCCAAUAUUCAUUCAUCAGUUAUUAAGUACCUAUUAUUUACUUGGUUCCCAGUACUUUCAGGAGCACAGAAGUUGUAACACAUUCCCCCUGCUUUGUAAUGAACUUACAGUCUACUCUGGAGCAAACUAUACAUGCAUGAAAAGUAAAAUAACACAAGAUAGUGUA